AUUGAACGCUGGCGGCAGGCUUAACACAUGCAAGUCGAGCGGGGUGAUGGUGCUUGCACUAUCACUUAGCGGCGGACGGGUGAGUAAUGCUUAGGAAUCUGCCUAUUAGUGGGGGACAACACCUCGAAAGGGAUGCUAAUACCGCAUACGUCCUACGGGAGAAAGCGGGGGAUCGUAAGACCUCGCGCUAAUAGAUGAGCCUAUGCCGGAUUAGCUAGUUGGUAGGGUAAAGGCCUACCAAGGCGACGAUCCGUAGCUGGUCUGAGAGGAUGAUCAGCCACACUGGGACUGAGACACGGCCCAGACUCCUACGGGAGGCAGCAGUGGGGAAUAUUGGACAAUGGGCGCAAGCCUGAUCCAGCCAUGCCGCGUGUGUGAAGAAGGCCUUCGGGUUGUAAAGCACUUUAAGUGGGGAGGAAGGUCAGUAAGUUAAUACCUUGCUGAAUUGACGCUACCCACAGAAUAAGCACCGGCUAACUCUGUGCCAGCCGCCGCCGUAA
rnacentral:rRNA from 1 species